rnacentral:tRNA from 1 species
GGAGAAAUGGCUGAGUGGUUUAAAGCGGUAGACUGUAAAUCUAUUGAGAUUUCUCAUCGUAGGUUCGAAUCCUACUUUCUCCU